CAUUCUUUGGAACAACCCCCACCCCAGAGU
rnacentral:piRNA from 1 species